rnacentral:rRNA from 1 species
UACGGAGGGUGCAAGCGUUGUCCGGAUUUAUUGGGUUUAAAGGGUGCGUAGGCGGCCCGUUAAGUCAGUGGUGAAAGCCUCCAGCUCAACUGGAGAACUGCCAUUGAUACUGACGGGCUUGAGUACAGACGAGGUAGGCGGAAUUGAUUGUGUAGCGGUGAAAUGCAUAGAUACAAUCAAGAACUCCGAUUGCGUAGGCAGCUUACUAGGCUGUAACUGACGCUGGGGCACGAAAGCGUGGGGAGCGAACAGG